rnacentral:rRNA from 1 species
CCUACGGGUGGCAGCAGUAGGGAAUAUUGCUCAAUGGGGGAAACCCUGAAGCAGCAACGCCGCGUGGAGGAUGAAGGUUUUCGGAUUGUAAACUCCUUUUGUUAGAGAAGAUAAUGACGGUAUCUAACGAAUAAGCACCGGCUAACGCCGUGCCAGCAGCCGCGGGCAUCCGGAGGGAGCAAGCGGUACUCGGAAUCACUGGGCGUAAAGAGCGCGUAGGCGGGAUAGCAAGUCAGAUGUGAAAUCUUAUGGCUUAACCAUAGAACUGCAUUUGAAACUGUUAUUCUAGAGUAUGGGAGAGGUAGGUGGAAUGCGUGGUGUAGGGGUAAAAUCCGUAGAGAUCAAGAGGAAUACUCAUUGCGAAGGCGACCUGCCAGAACAUAACUGACGCUGAUGCGCGAAAGCGUGGGGAGCGAACAGGAUUAGAUACCCGUGUAGUC